rnacentral:rRNA from 1 species
CAAUAGCGUAUAUUUAAGUUGUUGCAGUUAAAAAGCUCGUAGUUGGAUUUCGGAUGGGAUUUGCCGGUCCGUCGUUACGAUGUGCACUGGCCAGUCCUAUCUUGUUGUCGGGGACUAGCUCCUUGGAUUAACUUCCUGGGACUAGGAGCUGACGAGGUUACUUUGAGUAAAUUAGAGUGUUCAAAGCAAGCCUUCGCUCUGAAUACAUUAGCAUGGAAUAACACGAUAGGACUCUGGCUUAUCUUGUUGGUCUGUGAGACCAGAGUAAUGAUUAAGAGGGACAGUCGGGGACAUUCGUAUUUCAUUGUCAGAGGUGAAAUUCUUGGAUUUAUGAAAGACGAACUACUGCGAAAGCAUUUGCCAAGGAUGUUUUCAUUAA